rnacentral:snRNA from 1 species
GUUUUCACUUUAGCAGCAUACACACUACAACUGGAAUGGUACAGAGAAGAUUAGCAUGGCCCCUGUGCAA